rnacentral:lncRNA from 1 species
CAAUAAUCGAAAACAUGGUUAUUCGUUUCAUAUCCACAUGAUGACCAAGUUGUGGACGCAUGGAUCAAUUGGCCGUAAACAUUUGUUUGGUGAGGACGUUUUAUGGAUAAUUCUAUGCAUAUGGAUGUCUUUACUUUUAGGACAAUACAGUUUUUCCAAAUAAGAAAUAAAAUUUUGUAUUUAUUUAUUUAUUUCAUUUUCAUUUAAGUUUUUUAUAUAAAUCG